GACGAACGCUGGCGGCGUGCCUAAUACAUGCAAGUAGAACGCUGAAGAGAGGAGCUUGCUCUUCUUGGAUGAGUUGCGAACGGGUGAGUAACGCGUAGGUAACCUGCCUUGUAGCGGGGGAUAACUAUUGGAAACGAUAGCUAAUACCGCAUAACAAUGGAUGACACAUGUCAUUUAUUUGAAAGGGGCAAUUGCUCCACUACAAGAUGGACCUGCGUUGUAUUAGCUAGUAGGUGAGGUAACGGCUCACCUAGGCGACGAUACAUAGCCGACCUGAGAGGGUGAUCGGCCACACUGGGACUGAGACACGGCCCAGACUCCUACGGGAGGCAGCAGUAGGGAAUCUUCGGCAAUGGGGGCAACCCUGACCGAGCAACGCCGCGUGAGUGAAGAAGGUUUUCGGAUCGUAAAGCUCUGUUGUAAGUCAAGAACGAGUGUGAGAGUGGAAAGUUCACACUGUGACGGUAGCUUACCAGAAAGGGACGGCUAACUACGUGCCAGCAGCCGCGGUAAUACGUAGGUCCCGAGCGUUGUCCGGAUUUAUUGGGCGUAAAGCGAGCGCAGGCGGCUUGAUAAGUCUGAAGUUAAAGGCUGUGGCUCAACCAUAGUUCGCUUUGGAAACUGUCAAACUUGAGUGCAGAAGGGGAGAGUGGAAUUCCAUGUGUAGCGGUGAAAUGCGUAGAUAUAUGGAGGAACACCGGUGGCGAAAGCGGCUCUCUGGUCUGUAACUGACGCUGAGGCUCGAAAGCGUGGGGAGCGAACAGGAUUAGAUACCCUGGUAGUCCACGCCGUAAACGAUGAGUGCUAGGUGUUGGAUCCUUUCCGGGAUUCAGUGCCGCAGCUAACGCAUUAAGCACUCCGCCUGGGGAGUACGACCGCAAGGUUGAAACUCAAAGGAAUUGACGGGGGCCCGCACAAGCGGUGGAGCAUGUGGUUUAAUUCGAAGCAACGCGAAGAACCUUACCAGGUCUUGACAUCCCGAUGCUAUUUCUAGAGAUAGAAAGUUACUUCGGUACAUCGGUGACAGGUGGUGCAUGGUUGUCGUCAGCUCGUGUCGUGAGAUGUUGGGUUAAGUCCCGCAACGAGCGCAACCCCUAUUGUUAGUUGCCAUCAUUCAGUUGGGCACUCUAGCGAGACUGCCGGUAAUAAACCGGAGGAAGGUGGGGAUGACGUCAAAUCAUCAUGCCCCUUAUGACCUGGGCUACACACGUGCUACAAUGGUUGGUACAACGAGUUGCGAGUCGGUGACGGCAAGCUAAUCUCUUAAAGCCAAUCUCAGUUCGGAUUGUAGGCUGCAACUCGCCUACAUGAAGUCGGAAUCGCUAGUAAUCGCGGAUCAGCACGCCGCGGUGAAUACGUUCCCGGGCCU
rnacentral:rRNA from 1 species